GUGCGUUCUUCAUCGAUGCCAGAACCAAGAGAUCCGUUGUUGAAAGUUU
rnacentral:rRNA from 1 species